rnacentral:rRNA from 1 species
AGCAGUCGCCGCGGGAAUACAGAGGGUGCGAGCGUUAAUCGGAUUUACUGGGCGUAAAGCGUGCGUAGGCGGCUAAUUGAGUCGGAUGUGAAAUCCCUGAGCUUAACUUAGGAAUUGCAUUCGAUACUGGGAAGCUAGAGUAUGGGAGAGGAUGGUAGAAUUCCAGGUGUAGCGGUGAAAUGCGUAGAGAUCUGGAGGAAUACCGAUGGCGAAGGCAGCCAUCUGGCCUAAUACUGACGCUGAGGUACGAAAGCAUGGGGAGCAAACAGGAUUAGAUACCCCCGUAGUCCCUGUCUCUUAUAC